rnacentral:lncRNA from 1 species
UGCACUCUGCUCUCCCUGUACCCUGGCUGUGACUCAAACACUAUUAAUUGCACACCUACAUUUGGCUGUUCCUAAGUGAUGGGUGCACUCCUGGGGCAGCACGACAGCAGCAGCAGGAAGCUGGGGCAGUGGCCAUGCUGCAAUUCCAGCUGUGUCAGGCUGUGUGCAGGCUGCAGGUUGGACAUGCAUGAAUUACACUGAAGUAAUGAGCUCGGCUGCUGUGCUGACUCUUCAACAGAUACAGAAGUUACAGGUAUUAGGGCUGUUCUGUGUCUCAACAUGUAAAGAAUUCGUGACAUUCAUACACCAAAUAAGCUGUCAAAAUGGCAUUUAUUGGAUCACACUGAGCAUGACAACAAAGCUGCUUUCUUCCCAUCUUGUAAAUGAUCAGCAGUAG